UUGCGGACUAGAGCCCAUGGAUUUUGUUUUCUAAUGAGUUAUAUCAUGGGUGCAAGCAAAUUAAAUCAUAUAAACAUGGCUCACACUGAAGCAUAUUGCAGCUUCAAAACUUUCUUCAAUAGCAAUGCAAUAUCUAUGUCACAUUAGUAUGAACAAUUGGUUCAGCCUCAAAGAGUAUACUGAGUGAGCAAACAGCAAAACAUACUUCUACUUUUCUAAACAGUAGCUCAUCCCAAAAGAUGGUAAUCUUCAUAGUCUCUGCCAUAAGAUCUUCAAAUCUUGUGUAUGGAAAUAUGUAUUGAAGGUGACAUUUCAACGAUAAAUUCACUACAAAUCAAUAAAAAAAUUCUAUGCCUUGAUGAUCUAUAUGAAGCAGCUCACAUUCUGUGAUGGGUAUCAACUACACUUCUCAUAUCCACAUCACAUAAAAUCAACACUCAAAGCACAAAAAAGCAUAUAUACAAAAAUUCUGUCUUAUGGGUUUUAAGUGAUGUUUAUCAGUGUCUUGACUUACACCAAGAAGGUCAUAAUUAUAUGUCCUAUUAGGAUGUAAAACUGGUAUGCAAAAUUACUGAAAUAUAAAAAGUAUGUUGUGCGUUCAAGUUCUAAGGUCUCCGAUUUUUUUUCU